AUUGAACGCUGGCGGCAUGCUUUACACAUGCAAGUCGAACGGUAACAGGCCGCAAGGUGCUGACGAGUGGCGAACGGGUGAGUAAUGCAUCGGAACGUGCCCAGUCGUGGGGGAUAACGCAGCGAAAGCUGCGCUAAUACCGCAUACGAUCUGUGGAUGAAAGCGGGGGACCGUAAGGCCUCGCGCGAUUGGAGCGGCCGAUGUCAGAUUAGGUAGUUGGGGGGGUAAAGGCUCACCAAGCCAACGAUCUGUAGCUGGUCUGAGAGGACGACCAGCCACACUGGGACUGAGACACGGCCCAGACUCCUACGGGAGGCAGCAGUGGGGAAUUUUGGACAAUGGGCGCAAGCCUGAUCCAGCAAUGCCGCGUGCAGGAAGAAGGCCUUCGGGUUGUAAACUGCUUUUGUACGGAACGAAACGGCUCUCACUAAUACUGGGGGCUAAUGACGGUACCGUAAGAAUAAGCACCGGCUAACUACGUGCCAGCCGCCGCAGUAAGAC
rnacentral:rRNA from 1 species